CGGCUGAAGGAGCUGGGGUUGUUCAGUCUAGAGAAGAGGAGGCUCAGGGGAGACCUUAUUGCUCUCUAUCACUACCUGAAGGGAGGUUGUGUUGAGCUGGGGGUCAGCCUCUUCUCUCGUGUGACUAGUGAUAGGACUAGAGGGAAUGGCUUCAAGCUGUGCCAGGGAAGAUUCAGGCUGGAUGUUAGGAAAUACUACUUCUCUGAAAGGGUGGUCAGGCACUGGAAUGGGCUGCCCAGAGAGGUGGUGGAGUCACUGACCCUGGAGGUGUUCAAGG
rnacentral:lncRNA from 1 species